GGCGGCCCCGGAGGGCCCCGAGGCGCUGCCGGAUCCCGACAGCAUGAACCAGCUCGCGCUCGCCACCACGCCCAAGAGGCAGAAGGUGGAGGACGCCGCGGAUGGGUGCAAGCAUUGCGCCUGCAAAAAGUCCAGAUGCUUGAAGCUAUCUCGACGCUCUACCCAUUGGCCUUGGCAUCGACCUUGGCAGGACUAAUAACUCCUCGUCGAUGUUAGCCUGGCGCCAGGACACAUGCAGCUGCUCGUCAUCAACAUGUUGCACUGGACAGAAGAUAUCUCAGUGCACCCUUGUGAAAUAUAGGUAUUUACAGUACGAGUAUAGGCCCAGAUUUGUUUUAAAUAUUUCCAGGCUGCUGCUUAGCGAACUCCCAGGCAUGCUAAACAAAUUUGUGGUACAGGGUGAUAGCCGAGUGCCUAGAAACCCGGGUGCUAAAAAGCCUAUCUCCAAAUACAAAGGAGGCAAAUUUGGCUACACCGUCUAGAGACAACAAAGUAACAAUGAACAUGAUAAAACUCCCAGCUGAGCUUUAUUUAAAUGACGUAAACAUGUCAAUCAGAUUGCUUACUUCUCUUCUUUUUUGCGGCAAGAUUCCUUACUCCUCCUGAGGACAUAUCUUUAGGUUAACCGUGCCGAAGUCUCUGGAAGUCUGCUGCAUUGUCAAAAAAUAAAUAAAUUCAGAGAACAAACGAUCUUCUUCUGUCAUAAUAUUAUUUCUCAAGGCGGUUGGGUGGUACCUAGAGUGUGCAAUGCUCUCCCCAGGCACCUGAAAAGAGGAAGGUCUUGUCUUCAGGAUUCCACUUCGGAUCCAAGGAGCUGAGGAAACUACACUGGUAGAAAAAAACAAAAAUAUUGCAAAGGAGAAGCGUCUCAAAAUGAAAGAUUUGCUUAAGAUCACGGAAGCUUGGGUUGAUGGAGUGCUUGUAUUUAGUUUUU